rnacentral:rRNA from 1 species
CCUACGGGAGGCUGCAGUGGGGAAUAUUGCACAAUGGGGGAAACCCUGAUGCAGCGACGCCGCGUGAGUGAAGAAGUAAUUCGGUAUGUAAAGCUCUAUCAGCAGGGAAGAAAAUGACGGUACCUGAGUAAGAAGCGCCGGCUAACUACGUGCCAGCAGCCGCGGUAAUACGUAGGGGGCAAGCGUUAUCCGGAUUUACUGGGUGUAAAGGGAGCGUAGACGGCAGUGCAAGUCUGGAGGGAAAGGCGGGGGCUCAACCCCCGGACUGCUCUGGAAACUGUACUGCUGGAGUGCAGGAGAGGUAAGUGGAAUUCCUAGUGUAGCGGUGAAAUGCGUAGAUAUUAGGAGGAACACCAGUGGCGAAGGCGGCUUACUGGACUGUAACUGACGUUGAGGCUCGAAAGCGUGGGGAGCAAACAGGAUUAGAUACCCGAGUAGUC